rnacentral:rRNA from 1 species
GAUGAACGCUGGCGGCGUGCUUAACACAUGCAAGUCGAGCGAAGCGGUUUUAAGGAAGUUUUCGGAUGGAAUUAAGAUCGACUUAGCGGCGGACGGGUGAGUAACGCGUGGGUAACCUGCCUCAUACAGGGGGAUAACAGUUAGAAAUGACUGCUAAUACCGCAUAAGCGCACAGUGCUGCAUAGCACAGUGUGAAAAACUCCGGUGGUAUGAGAUGGACCCGCGUCUGAUUAGGUGGUUGGUGAGGUAAUGGCUCACCAAGCCGACGAUCAGUAGCCGACCUGAGAGGGUGACCGGCCACAUUGGGACUGAGACACGGCCCAAACUCCUACGGGAGGCAGCAGUGGGGAAUAUUGGACAAUGAGGGAAACCCUGAUCCAGCGACGCCGCGUGAGUGAAGAAGUGUUUCGGCAUGUAAAGCUCUAUCAGCAGGGAAGAAAAUGACGGUACCUGACUAAGAAGCCCCGGCUAACUACGUGCCAGCAGCCGCCGUAA